GACGAACGCUGGCGGCGUGCUUAACACAUGCAAGUCGAACGGAAAGGCCCUGCUUUUGUGGGGUGCUCGAGUGGCGAACGGGUGAGUAACACGUGAGUAACCUGCACUUGACUUUGGGAUAACUUCAGGAAGCUGGGGCUAAUACCGGAUAGGAGCUCCUGCUGCAUGGUGGGGGAUGGAAAGUUUCGGCGGUUGGGGAUGGACUCGCGGCUUAUCAGCUUGUUGGUGGGGUAGUGGCUUACCAAGGCUUUGACGGGUAGCCGGCCUGAGAGGGUGACCGGCCACAUUGGGACUGAGAUACGGCCCAGACUCCUACGGGAGGCAGCAGUGGGGAAUAUUGCACAGUGGGCGGAAGCCUGAUGCAGCAACGCCGCGUGCGGGAUGACGGCCUUCGGGUUGUAAACCGCUUUCGCCUGUGACGAAGCGUGAGUGACGGUAAUGGGUAAAGAAGCACCGGCUAACUACGUG
rnacentral:rRNA from 1 species